UCAAAUUUAUGCACAAAACAACUAUGGAUGCUUUCUGCGCCUUCGAAUGCUAAUGGUAAGAACAUGCAUGCAUGCAUGGUCGAUCAUUUCAAUCAUUUAAAAUAACAUCAUAGAGAGAAGAAUUUAGUUUCUUAUGUAAUAAAUGAUGUAUGUAUGUUUGUAUAUAAGCAUACCUGCGUGAGGCUAAGAGGAUUGAGAAAUAUUUUAAAGAAGAUUUUUGUGAAGAGAGAAUAGUAAGAACAGAAGAGAGAAGGCUUAUUUAUAAUGGUGGCUCAAGCAGUCAAAGCUUAUCCAGUCACAUUGGUGAUGACUCAAUUGGAUAAAUAAUAAUAAUAAUAAUAGUAAUAAUCCCCCAGGAGCAGAGUGAGUUGCAGGAAGAGAAGGUUGGUUGCCGCCUGACUGAAGAGAAGAAAAUUAGUGAUGAAGAUGCGAUGGGUGUGAAUUCACUUGAUUUUCAUUUACAGUCAAAAUCAUGGCACUUGGUGUUCUUUAUUUUCAGAUUGGGUGCUGUCUGUUUUAACCAUACUGCUGCUUGUCUGCUUCUUUUCUGUGUUUAAGCUGUUUUAUCUGCGCUACUUGGAUCCUCUUUGAACAUGCUGUUUUGGACUGUGUUUGCUUUCCCUUUGAAAUAACACUUUACUUUUAUA